rnacentral:rRNA from 1 species
AUACGGAGGGUGCGAGCGUUAAUCGGAAUUACUGGGCGUAAAGCGCGCGUAGGCGGCUAGAUCAGUCGGAUGUGAAAGCCCUGGGCUUAACCUGGGAACUGCAUUUGAUACUGCUGAACUAGAGUAUGGUAGAGGGAAGUGGAAUUCCGGGUGUAGCGGUGAAAUGCGUAGAUAUCCGGAGGAACACCAGUGGCGAAGGCGACUUCCUGGACCAAUACUGACGCUGAGGUGCGAAAGCGUGGGGAGCAAACGGGAUUAGAAACCCCAGUAGUCC